AUUGAACGCUGGCGGCAUGCCUUACACAUGCAAGUCGAACGGCAGCACGGGUGCUUGCACCUGGUGGCGAGUGGCGAACGGGUGAGUAAUACAUCGGAACGUACCUUAUCGUGGGGGAUAACGCAGCGAAAGCUGUGCUAAUACCGCAUACGCCCUGAGGGGGAAAGCGGGGGAUCGAAAGACCUCGCGCGAUUAGAGCGGCCGAUGCCUGAUUAGCUUGUUGGUGGGGUAAAAGCCCACCGAGGCGACGAUCAGUAGCUGGUCUGAGAGGACGAUCAGCCACACUGGGACUGAGACACGGCCCAGACUCCUACGGGGGCAGCAGUGGGGAAUAUUGCACAAUGGGCGCAAGCCUGAUCCAGCAAUGCCGCGUGAGUGAAGAAGGCCUUCGGGUUGUAAAGCUCUUUUGUCAGGGAAGAAACACCGGCUCUAACACAGUCCGGGAAUGACGGUACCUGAAGAAUAAGCACCGGCUAACUACGUGCCAGCCGCCGCGGUAA
rnacentral:rRNA from 1 species